rnacentral:rRNA from 1 species
UCAGGCCUAACACAUGCAAGUCGAGCGAGGACUUCGGUCCUAGCGGCGGACGGGUGAGUAACGCGUGGGAACGUGCCCUUUGCUUCGGAAUAGCCCUGGGAAACUGGGAGUAAUACCGGAUGAGCCCUACGGGGGAAAGAUUUAUCGGCGAAGGAUCGGCCCGCGUUGGAUUAGGUAGUUGGUGGGGUAAUGGCCUACCAAGCCGACGAUCCAUAGCUGGUUUGAGAGGAUGAUCAGCCACACUGGGACUGAGACACGGCCCAGACUCCUACGGGAGGCAGCAGUGGGGAAUCUUAGACGAUGGGGGAAACCCUGAUCUAGCCAUGCCGCGUGAGAAAAGGAGGCCUUAGGGUUGUAAAGCUCUUCAGCUGGAAGAUAAUG